AGCUAGAGAACUGGGAAAUCAUUCUAGGCUGUGACGUUACAGCAACGCACCUGUCAGGACUUGGAGCACUGUAGCCUGGUCUUCUUACCACUGGAGAGCAGAAUUCUGGGCUAGGGCCUUCCCUGUUUCCCUGUUUCCACCAUGGGCUCCAGGCUCCUGUGCUGUGUGGCCCUCUGCUUCCUGGGAGCAGGUUCCCUGGACACAGCAGUUCUCCAGACUCCAAAAUACCUCAUCACGCGGGUGGGAAAUCAGAAGUCCCUAAGUUGUGAACAAAAGCUGAACCAUAAUGCUAUGUACUGGUAUAAGCAGGACUCCAAGCAAUUGCUGAAGGUUAUGUUUUCCUACAAUAAUAAGGAGCUCAUUCUAAAUGAGACAGUUCCAAGUCGUUUCUUACCUGAAUCUCUGGACAAAGCUCAUUUGAAACUUCAUAUCAACUCGUUGGAGACGGGUGACUCUGCUGUGUAUCUCUGUGCUAGCAGCCAAGACACAGCCCUGCAAAGUCACUGCCUCCCUGUGCACAAACCUGCUGGCCCAGCCAGGAAGCUGUGGGAACAACAUGUUCACCCAACACACCCUGCUGUGAGACCCCUGACUGGAGUUUCAUCUGUAGUAUAACUCACAGUACACAAUAGAGUUGUUCUGUAGUUGGUAUGCUCAAAAGUCUUCCCAAUUCUACUCAUCAGCUAGAGCAGGGGUUUCUAGUAAAUUUACUGAAGUACUCAGGACUCUGCAAACAAGUAAU